rnacentral:rRNA from 1 species
CUGCAGCCCGAGUGGUGAUCGAUUUUAUUGAGCCUAAAGCGUCCGUAGCCGGACUAGUAAACCCUUGGGUAAAUUGGGCAGCUUAACUGUCCAAAUUCCGAGGGGACUGCUAGUCUUGGGACCGGGAGAGGUCAGAGGUACUCAAGGGGUAGGGGCUAAAUCCUGUAAUCCUUUGGGGACCACCAGUGGCGAAGGCGUCUGACUAGAACGGAUCCGACGGUAAGGGACGAAACCCUGGGGCGCAAACCGGAUUAGAGACCCGAGUAGUCC